rnacentral:rRNA from 1 species
GACGAACGCUGGCGGCGUGCUUAACACAUGCAAGUCGAACGGAAAGGCCCUGCUUUUGUGGGGUGCUCGAGUGGCGAACGGGUGAGUAACACGUGAGUAACCUGCCCUUGACUUUGGGAUAACUUCAGGAAACUGGGGCUAAUACCGGAUAAGAGCUCCUGCUGCAUGGUGGGGGUUGGAAGUUUCGGCGGUUGGGGAUGGACUCGCGGCUUAUCAGCUUGUUGGUGGGGUAGUGGCUUACCAAGGCUUUGACGGGUAGCCGGCCUGAGAGGGUGACCGGCCACAUUGGGACUGAGAUACGGCCCAGACUCCUACGGGAGGCAGCAGUGGGGAAUAUUGCACAAUGGGCGGAAGCCUGAUGCAGCAACGCCGCGUGCGGGAUGACGGCCUUCGGGUUGUAAACCGCUUUCGCCUGUGACGAAGCGUGAGUGACGGUAAUGGGUAAAGAAGCACCGGCUAACUACGUG